CGCUUAGAAACUGAUUUUACCUAAUCUAUCCGAUCGUUCUCCAGAUCUAAUUCUUUUCUCCUCUUCUAUUUCCUUAGAAAAACUGAUUUAACCUAAUCUAUCUGAUUGUUCUACAAAGCCAAAUUUCUGUUUUAAGUUUUUGAUAAUUGAUUUUUGAUUUUGCAACCACCAGUGAGGAAAUUAUUUUGUGUGUUUGUGAUAUCUAAUUAAUUCAAAUUUUUGAUGAAACAGAGUGAAGGUUCAGUCGUAGUCGCCGCCGCCGCCGACAAAGAUGCAGUUACAGUCACAGUCGCCGCUCCGCCGCCGCCGCCGCCGCAGCAGCAAAUGGAAGUAGGUCCUCAGCAUGUCGUGGUGUGCCGGAUUCCUCACCCUGUUCAGAAACUCUCUUUGCAUUCAAUGCAGCUAACCUCAAAAGAAAUUUGAACAAACUGUGUUAGGGAAAAAGAGUGCCGAUCCGAAGGGGUACCCGUUCCCAUUCAUCAACCGCCGUCGGAAACCCUAAAAAUUGUGGAAUCUUCCCGCUGGUAAUCAAAGCGCCGAUCCGAAGUCUACACUAAUUUUACCGAAGAAACAAUUGAAUUAUGUAGAUGUUUCUAACUUUUCGUGGAAUGAGAAAAGGACGGGACAAGGAGAAUCAUCCAUUCUUAGUAGAUCCUACCUGUACCCUUUGAGUGGGGAUACUGAUUCUGCAGGUUCUGAGCAGUAAAAUCAUCAGUGUAUCUGAAGAUAUAAAGACUGGAUGUACGAUUGUGCUGUCAAAAUAUCUAGUGGAAAUUGGCGAGCCACAUAAUCCCAAGAUAUUACUGCUUUCAGUGACCGCCAUGCUGGGUAUUAGGUGAUUCAGUUGACAAUGUGAUACCCGACUCUUCUAAUUCAUGUUCAAAUCUUUCUGGUUCUUCGAGAUGGAAGGUGGAAUGAGCAGGGUGUCGCGGUUUUAGUUCCUAGUGACAUUGAUAUGAUGUUGCUAAGGAUAAAUGGAGAAUCGGAGAAGGCUAUGGACCAAAGACUACAAGAUAUGAAGCAUGUUUAUUUUUUAUAAAUUUAGACAAGACACUGUAUUAAUUUCUACUUCAACUUACACAUUACAGUUAAGGGUAUGAAUUAAGUAGAAGUUUCAUUGAGGGUGGGAAAUAGACAUUAAAAUUGCAAGUUUAUGUAAUUCUUUUUAUUAUUGAUAUUUUACCUUUUAAGCAUUGUAUAUUGAUUAUGAUUUUGAAAUAAAUUAAUUAUAUUCAGUAA